CCUACGGUGUGCAGCAGUGAGGAAUAUUGGUCAAUGGCCGGAAGGCUGAACCAGCCAAGCCGCGUGAAGGACGAAGGUGCCAAGCAUUGUAAACUUCUUUUGUCAAGGGACAAAAUCAGGCUCGAGAGCCUGACCGAGUGUACUUGAAGACAAAGCAUCGGCUAACUCCGUGCCAGCAGCCGCGGUAAUACGUGGGAUGCGAGCGUUAUCCGGAUUUAUUGGGUUUAAGGGGUGCGUAGGCGGACGGUUAAGUCAGCGGUAAACUCCCGGGGCUAAACCCCGGCGAGCCGUUGAAACUGGCUGUCUUGAGAUGUCGAGAGGUAUGCGGAAUGCGCAGUGUAGCGGUGAAAUGCUUAGAUAGUGCGCAGAACUCCGAUUGCGAAGGCAGCAUACCGGCGGCGAUCUGACGCUGAGGCACGAAAGCGUGGGUAUCGAACAGGAUUAGAUACCCUUGUAGUC
rnacentral:rRNA from 1 species